UCCAGGGCUGUGUUGGGACAGGAAGACUCUAGGUAGAGGUCCGUGUGUGUGUGUGUGUGUUACCUCCAGGGCUGUGUUGGGACAGGAAGACUCUAGGUAGAGGUCCGUGUGUGUGUGUGUGUUACCUCCAGGGCUGUGUUGGGACAGGAAGACUCUAGGUAGAGGUCCGUGUGUGUGUGUGUUACCUCCAGGGCUGUGUUGGGACAGGAAGACUCUAGGUAGAGGUCCGUGUGUGUGUGUGUGUGUUACCUCCAGGGCUGUGUUGGGACAGGAAGACUCUAGGUAGAGGUCCGUGUGUGUGUGUG